AGAGCGAACGCUGGCGGCAGGCUUAACACAUGCAAGUCGAGCGCCCGUAGCAAUACGGGAGCGGCAGACGGGAUAGUAACACGUGGGAACGCGCCCUUCGGUUCGGAAUAACUCAGGGAAACUUGAGCUAAUACCGGAUACGCCCUUACGGGGAAAGAUUUAUUGCCGAAGGAACGGCCCGCGUCCGAUUAGCUAGUUGGUGAGGUAAUGGCUCACCAAGGCGACGAUCGGUAGCUGGUCUGAGAGGAUGAUCAGCCACAUUGGGACUGAGACACGGCCCAAACUCCUACGGGAGGCAGCAGUGGGGAAUAUUGGACAAUGGGCGAAAGCCUGAUCCAGCCAUGCCGCGUGAGUGAUGACGGCCUUAGGGUUGUAAGGCUCUUUCGUCAGGGACGAUAAUGACGGUACCUGAAGAAGAAGCCCCGGCUAACUUCGUGCCAGCAGCCGC
rnacentral:rRNA from 1 species